rnacentral:rRNA from 1 species
GAUGAACGCUGGCGGCGUGCCUAAUACAUGCAAGUCGAGCGAACGGACGAGAAGCUUGCUUCUCUGAUGUUAGCGGCGGACGGGUGAGUAACACGUGGAUAACCUACCUAUAAGACUGGGAUAACUUCGGGAAACCGGAGCUAAUACCGGAUGAUAUUUUGAAUCGCAUGGUUCAAAAGUGAAAGACGGUCUUGCUGUCACUUAUAGAUGGAUCCGCGCUGCAUUAGCUAGUUGGUAAGGUAACGGCUUACCAAGGCAACGAUGCAUAGCCGACCUGAGAGGGUGAGCGGCCACACUGUAACUGAGACACGGUCCAGACUCCUACGGGAGGCAGCAGUAGGGAAUCUUCCGCAAUGGGCGAAAGCCUGACGGAGCAACGCCGCGUGAGUGAUGAAGGUCUUCGGAUCGUAAAACUCUGUUAUUAGGGAAGAACAUAUGUGUAAGUAACUGUGCACAUCUUGACGGUACCUAAUCAGAAAGCCACGGCUAACUACGUG